GCUGGCGGCACGCCUAACACAUGCAAGUCGAACGAAGUAGCAAUACUUAGUGGCAGACGGGUGAGUAACAUGUAGGUAUCUGCCCUUUGGCCUGGAAUAACACGAGGAAACUUGUGCUAAUACCGGAUAAGUCUUUACGGAGAAAGCUUUAUGCACCAUUGGAUGAGCCUGCACUUGAUUAGUUUGUUGGUGGGGUAAUGGCCUACCAAGACUGUGAUCAAUAGCUGAUUUGAGAGGAUGAUCAGCCACAUUGGGACUGAGACACGGCCCAAACUCCUACGGGAGGCAGCAGUGGGGAAUCUUGCACAAUGGAGGAAACUCUGAUGCAGCGAUGCCGCGUGAGUGAAGAAGGCCCUUGGGUUGUAAAGCUCUUUCGUCGGGGAAGAAAAUGACUGUACCCGAAUAAGAAGGUCCGGCUAACUUCGUGCCAGCAGCCGCGGUAAUACGAAGGGACCUAGCGUAGUUCGGAAUUACUGGGCUUAAAGAGUUCGUAGGUGGUUGAAAAAGUUAGUGGUGAAAUCCCAGAGCUUAACUCUGGAACUGCCAUUAAAACUUUUCAGCUAGAGUAUGAUAGAGGAAAGCAGAAUUUCUAGUGUAGAGGUGAAAUUCGUAGAUAUUAGAAAGAAUACCAAUUGCGAAGGCAGCUUUCUGGAUCAUUACUGACACUGAGGAACGAAAGCAUGGGUAGCGAAGAGGAUUAGAUACCCUCGUAGUCCAUGCCGUAAACGAUGUGUGUUAGACGUUGGAAAUUUAUUUUCAGUGUCGCAGGGAAACCGAUAAACACACCGCCUGGGGAGUACG
rnacentral:rRNA from 1 species